rnacentral:lncRNA from 1 species
ACUGCGUGCACAGCUGUCUCCCUGAGCUGAGACGACGGAGAGCCGAGGUCGCGGAGGCAGAAUGUGCAAGGUGCCUGGAGGUGGGGUGCACGGUCUCCCCGAAUCCCAGCACCAAGUCAUCUCCUGCAGCAGCAGCAGCCCCAGCCUCAGGACCCCCCGUCACCGAGAUUCCAGCAGAACCGUUGGAAAGCCACCAGCUCGCCCUCAGAAACAGAUGAGGGUCCAGCCCCUUCCGCCUACAAGUCCGUGGAUGCCAUUUGGGUGACAAUCCUUUCGGCCCCCUUUCUCAUGCCCAGCCCCAUAACCGAGGGAACCCUCUCCCUCCCCAGGACAAGUUCUUCCAGGUGAAUUAGCUAACUGCUAUUUACUGAGUGGAAAACACGAAAUUCUGACCACAGAGGAUUUUGUUUUCCCGCCUUUGACAACGUCUCCCCGUGUGGCGGGCCAGGCUCCACAGGCAGCCUGAGGCUACGCCCAGGUGCAUUCAGGGGACAGUGGGUUGCUUGUGCCUGGCUCUGCUCCCUGCCUGCCCAGUGUCCCCCCACUCUUGCAGCACCAGCUCCCUGGGUCCAAGCCAGUCCUACCCCGAGGCUAAGGGUGGCCCCUCGAUCCAGGCCAGGUCAAUCGAAAUCACAGUGUUGAUUUGGGGAUGGACAAGACCGCUCUCCGGGCCCCUUGGAGACGACUUGGAACUGGGGGAGACUAUGGGAACAAGGAGCUCCUGCUGAGCUGUAACCUGAUGGGAUGUAUGUCUGAGGGGCUGGGAGCCAACUGCACCCCCCCUUCAAAGUUCACUGGAGAAUGAAACCAGCUAGGAAAAAGGAGCAGAUCCUGACGUCAUGGGCAUGCCUGGAACCAGUCGUGGGGAAGCCACAGGCUUCAGUGACCUGUGCAAAUAAAGUGAGCUCUUACCGCCUUUUCCUUAAGCUAGUGUGAGUUGUAUUUCUGUCUCUUGUGGAUUAUAGAAGCACUGUGACCUCAGCUGUCAUACCUGCGUGAGGAGAGAGGAAUCCUUGCUGGCACUGGAGAGAGGGCCAACACGGCCUGAGACACGCGGCAGAGUCUCGGGGGCGCAGACGCAGACAGGGACCUGGAGCACGGGCCCUGGCAGAACCUGCCCCCUCCUGCCCCGG